AGGCCAACACAAACAAUCUUCAUG
rnacentral:siRNA from 1 species